rnacentral:rRNA from 1 species
AUUGAACGCUGGCGGCAGGCUUAACACAUGCAAGUCGAGCGGGGUGAUGGUGCUUGCACUAUCACUUAGCGGCGGACGGGUGAGUAAUGCUUAGGAAUCUGCCUAUUAGUGGGGGACAACAUCUCGAAAGGGAUGCUAAUACCGCAUACGUCCUACGGGAGAAAGCAGGGGAUCACUUGUGACCUUGCGCUAAUAGAUGAGCCUAAGUCGGAUUAGCUAGUUGGUGGGGUAAAGGCCUACCAAGGCGACGAUCUGUAGCGGGUCUGAGAGGAUGAGCCGCCACACUGGGACUGAGACACGGCCCGGACUCCUACAGGAGGCAGCAGUGGGGAAUAUUGGACAAUGGGGGGAACCCUGAUCCAGCCAUGCCGCGUGUGUGAAGAAGGCCUUAUGGUUGUAAAGCACUUUAAGCGAGGAGGAGGCUCUUUUGGUUAAUACCCAAGAUGAGUGGACAUUACUCGCAGAAUAAGCACCGGCUAACUCUGUGCCAGCCGCCGCAGUAA